rnacentral:rRNA from 1 species
GUUUGAUCCUGGCUCAGGAUGAACGCUAGCUACAGGCUUAACACAUGCAAGUCGAGGGGCAGCAUGGUCUUAGCUUGCUAAGACUGAUGGCGACCGGCGCACGGGUGAGUAACACGUAUCCAACCUGCCGAUGACUCGGGGAUAGCCUUUCGAAAGAAAGAUUAAUACCCGAUGGCAUAAUAGAACCGCAUGGUUUGAUUAUUAAAGAAUUUCGGUUAUCGAUGGGGAUGCGUUCCAUUAGGCAGUUGGUGGGGUAACGGCCCACCAAACCUUCGAUGGAUAGGGGUUCUGAGAGGAAGGUCCCCCACAUUGGAACUGAGACACGGUCCAAACUCCUACGGGAGGCAGCAGUGAGGAAUAUUGGUCAAUGGGCGAGAGCCUGAACCAGCCAAGUAGCGUGAAGGAUGACUGCCCUAUGGGUUGUAAACUUCUUUUAUAAAGGAAUAAAGUCGGGUAUGCAUACCCGUUUGCAUGUACUUUAUGAAUAAGGAUCGGCUAACUCCGUGCCAGCAGCCGCGGUAAUACGGAGGAUCCGAGCGUUAUCCGGAUUUAUUGGGUUUAAAGGGAGCGUAGAUGGAUGUUUAAGUCAGUUGUGAAAGUUUGCGGCUCAACCGUAAAAUUGCAGUUGAUACUGGAUAUCUUGAGUGCAGUUGAGGCAGGCGGAAUUCGUGGUGUAGCGGUGAAAUGCUUAGAUAUCACGAAGAACUCCGAUUGCGAAGGCAGCCUGCUAAGCUGCAACUGACAUUGAGGCUCGAAAGUGUGGGUAUCAAACAGGAUUAGAUACCCUGGUAGUCCACACGGUAAACGAUGAAUACUCGCUGUUUGCGAUAUACGGCAAGCGGCCAAGCGAAAGCGUUAAGUAUUCCACCUGGGGAGUACGCCGGCAACGGUGAAACUCAAAGGAAUUGACGGGGGCCCGCACAAGCGGAGGAACAUGUGGUUUAAUUCGAUGAUACGCGAGGAACCUUACCCGGGUUUGAACGCAUUCGGACCGAGGUGGAAACACCUUUUCUAGCAAUAGCCGUUUGCGAGGUGCUGCA